rnacentral:rRNA from 1 species
GUUGUAUAGUCAAGUAAUUAAGUGCAUGUGGUGGAUGCCUUGGCAGUCAGAGGCGAUGAAAGACGUGAUAGCCUGCGAAAAGCUCCGGGGAGGCGGCAAAUAUCCUUUGAUCCGGAGAUGUCUGAAUGGGGGAACCCACCUACUUUAAGGUAGGUAUUGCAACAUGAAUACAUAGUGUUGCAAGGCGAACGAGGGGAAGUGAAACAUCUCAGUACCCUUAGGAAAAGAAAUCAAUUGAGAUUCCCUCAGUAGCGGCGAGCGAACGGGGAUCAGCCCAUUAAGUUAUGUGUGUUUUAGUGGAACGCUCUGGGAAGUGCGAACGUAGAGGGUGAUAUUCCCGUACACGAAAGGGCACACAUAAUGAUGACGAGUAGGGCGAGGCACGUGAAACCUUGUCUGAAUAUGGGGGGACCAUCCUCCAAGGCUAAAUACUCCUGACUGACCGAUAGUGAACCAGUACCGUGAGGGAAAGGCGAAAAGAACCCCUGUGAGGGGAGUGAAAUAGAUCCUGAAACCGCAUGCAUACAAGCAGUGGGAGCACCUUCGUGGUGUGACUGCGUACCUUUUGUAUAAUGGGUCAGCGACUUAUAUUCAGUAGCAAGGUUAACCGUAUAGGGGAGCCGUAGAGAAAUCGAGUCUUAAUAGGGCGUUUAGUUGCUGGGUAUAGACCCGAAACCAGGCGAUCUAUCCAUGAGCAGGUUGAAGGUUGGGUAACACUAACUGGAGGACCGAACCCACUGUCGUUGAAAAGCCAGGGGAUGACUUGUGGAUAGGGGUGAAAGGCUAAUCAAGCCUGGUGAUAGCUGGUUCUCCCCGAAAGCUAUUUAGGUAGCGCCUCGGACGAAUACCAUAGGGGGUAGAGCACUGUUUCGGCUAGGGGGUCAUCCCGACUUACCAAACCGAUGCAAACUCCGAAUACCUAUGAGUACUAUCCGGGAGACAGACUGCGGGUGCUAACGUCCGUAGUCAAGAGGAAAACAAUCCAGACCGCCAGCUAAGGCCCCAAAAUCAUAGUUAAGUGGGAAACGAUGUGGGAAGGCAUAGACAGCUAGGAGGUUGGCUUAGAAGCAGCCACCCUUUAAAGAAAGCGUAAUAGCUCACUAGUCGAGUCGGCCUGCGCGGAAGAUGUAACGGGGCUAAAACUAUGUGCCGAAGCUGCGGAUNNNNNNNNNNNNNNNNNNNNNNNNNNNNNNNNNNNNNNNNNNNNNNNNNNAUGCUGGAGGUAUCAGAAGUGCGAAUGCUGACGUGAGUAACGACAAAACGGGUGAAAAACCCGUUCGCCGAAAGACCAAGGGUUCCAGUCCAACGUUAAUCGGGGCUGGGUGAGUCGACCCCUAAGGCGAGGCCGAAAGGCGUAGUCGAUGGGAAAAUGGUUAAUAUUCCAUUACUUCUGUGUAAUGCGAUGAGAGGACGGAGAAGGCUAAAUCAGCCUGGCGUUGGUUGUCCAGGUGAAAGGAUGUAGGCAUGUAUCUUAGGCAAAUCCGGGGUACUCUAUGCUGAGAUCUGAUAGCAAGCUGUACUUGUACAGCGAAGUGGUUGAUGCCAUGCUUCCAGGAAAAGUCUCUAAGCUUCAGUUACACAGGAAUCGUACCCGAAACCGACACAGGUGGUCAGGUCGAGUAGACCAAGGCGCUUGAGAGAACUCUGCUGAAGGAACUAGGCAAAAUGGUACCGUAACUUCGGGAGAAGGUACGCUGUUGUUGGUGAUGGAACUCGCUUCCUGAGCUGACGACAGCCGCAGAAACCAGGCCGCUGCAACUGUUUAUUAAAAACAUAGCACUCUGCAAACACGAAAGUGGACGUAUAGGGUGUGAUGCCUGCCCGGUGCUGGAAGGUUAAUUGAUGGGGUUAGCGUAAGCGAAGCUCUUGAUCGAAGCCCCAGUAAACGGCGGCCGUAACUAUAACGGUCCUAAGGUAGCGAAAUUCCUUGUCGGGUAAGUUCCGACCUGCACGAAUGGCAUAAUGAUGGCGGCGCUGUCUCCAGCAGAGGCUCAGUGAAAUCGAAAUCGCUGUGAAGAUGCAGUGUACCCGCGGCUAGACGGAAAGACCCCGUGAACCUUUACUGCAGCUUGACACUGAACUUUGACCUUACUUGUGUAGGAUAGGUGGGAGGCUUUGAAGCUGGAACGCUAGUUCCAGUGGAGCCGUCCUUGAAAUACCACCCUGGUAAUGUUGAGGUUCUAACUCUGUCCCGUGAUCCGGGACGAGGACCGUGUCUGGUGGGUAGUUUGACUGGGGCGGUCUCCUCCUAAAGAGUAACGGAGGAGUACGAAGGUGCGCUCAGCGUGGUCGGAAAUCACGCGUAGAGUAUAAAGGCAAAAGCGCGCUUAACUGCGAGACCCACAAGUCGAGCAGGUACGAAAGUAGGUCUUAGUGAUCCGGUGGUUCUGUAUGGAAGGGCCAUCGCUCAACGGAUAAAAGGUACUCUGGGGAUAACAGGCUGAUACCGCCCAAGAGUUCAUAUCGACGGCGGUGUUUGGCACCUCGAUGUCGGCUCAUCUCAUCCUGGGGCUGAAGCAGGUCCCAAGGGUAUGGCUGUUCGCCAUUUAAAGAGGUACGCGAGCUGGGUUUAGAACGUCGUGAGACAGUUCGGUCCCUAUCUACCGUGGGCGCUGGAAAUUUGAGAGGAUCUGCUCCUAGUACGAGAGGACCAGAGUGGACGAACCUCUGGUGUACCGGUUGUGACGCCAGUCGCAUCGCCGGGUAGCUAUGUUCGGAAGGGAUAACCGCUGAAAGCAUCUAAGCGGGAAGCCUACCUCAAGAUAAGAUUUCCCUAGGACUUUAUGUCCUCUAAAGAGCCGUUCGAGACUAGGACGUUGAUAGGUUGGAUGUGGAAGCAUAGUGAUAUGUGAAGCUGACCAAUACUAAUUGCUCGUGAGGCUUGACUAUACAACACCCAAGCAGUUG